CCCUUAGAUGUUCUGGGCCGCACGCGCGCUACACUGAUGCAUUCAACGAGCCUAUCCUUGACCGACAGGUCCGGGUAAUCUUUGAAUCUGCAUCGUGACGGGGAUAGAUUAUUGCAAUUAUUAAUCUUCAACGAGGAAUGCCUAGUAGGCGCAAGUCAUCAGCUUGCGUCGAUUACGUCCCUGCCCUUUGUACACACCGCCCGUCGCUCCUACCGAUUGGGUGUGCUGGUGAAAUGUUCGGAUCGGCCGUUUGUCGCGGUUUCCGCGUCAUGUGGCUGAGAAGUUCAUUACACCCUCCCACCUAGAGGAAGGAGAAGUCGUAACA
rnacentral:rRNA from 1 species